CACAGGGCGCACACGGGGGCACCUGUUCCCUCCCAGCCCUCCUGCCCCACGGGUCCCGGAGCCUCCCCUUGGCCAGGCUUCUCCGGGUGGCCGGACUGGGGACUAAUAAUGUCGGAGGUUAACUUCCACAGCUUUGAUUCUGGGCAGGUCAUCUUGUCCCUCUGCCUUGGCCUGCAAAUCUGUUUCUCCUUGGAGACUUCUGAACUGCAGCGCCCGGCGGCUCUGCAAUGCGGCAGCAGCUUCCAGCAGAGACAGAGACCAGAGCAUGAACAUUCAACGCAUUUUACCCAGACGCGCGGCCCAAUUAAGCCACUCCGUCCGUCUCCCCCGCCAGCUCAGCCAGAAAGGCCACUCAGGGCGGCAGCACAGGGGCGGCGGGAGUCUCGAGCCCCUGAUGCAGUGGGUGACGGAGGAGGCGAGCUGACCCCGGCCCCCGUCCUGCUAAACAAGAACGGGGGUGCAUGCCCCCCCCCCAGCUGGGAGCUGCACGCACCGCAGAGCCAGCACCACGGCCAAAGGGCUGACAGGCCAGCAAGAGCCGGUGGUACAUCACAGAUCUCAUUUAUUGUGGAAUUAUAAAAAUCUCUCCUUGACCAAGUCCUUCACACAAUGCAUCCCUUUCCCAGCUCACUUGCGCGCACACCCUUCCCUUGUCCUGUGCACUCCUGGUUCUUGACAAAUGAGACAUCCAGUGGGGCACAUACACAUGGCCUCUCUACCAUGAUAGAUGUGACUUCGAGGAAACAUCGUAACAACAAAUGGUAUGAUCACAGAAAGGACACUGGACCAAAAAAGACAAUUCAGUACAAGAAGGUAAUGGAGAAUCAAAAUCCAACUCAGACACAACGCAGGAGUUACCAGGGGAGUAACAUGAAGUGAACUCCCCAAAGAAAAGAAAGGAUAAUAAUUUGGAUUUUCACAUGGACUCCACCAUUCCACCGUCAACCUAUGACAUCUGUGACACUAUUUGCCUUGAUCCUGUUCUCCAAUGCUGGGUUUAUCCAGUGUUUGAUGUGAGAAGCAUCUCUAACUUUAACAAAACCUGGUAUCUAUAGAAAUAUUCUAUUGAAACUAAGACAGAGCAUACAUGUCCUUAAUAUAUGGGCUGUCGUGUCUAUAAGAAAAUAAAAUAAGGAGAAAAUAGUUGGGAACCA
rnacentral:lncRNA from 12 species